CCUACGGGAGGCAGCAGUGAGGAAUAUUGGUCAAUGGGCGGGAGCCUGAACCAGCCAAGUCGCGUGAGGGAAGACGGUCCUACGGAUUGUAAACCUCUUUUGCCGGGGAGCAACGGGGUCCUUGCGAGGGCCCAAUGAGAGUACCCGGAGAAAAAGCAUCGGCUAACUCCGUGCCAGCAGCCGCGGUAAUACGUAGGUGGCGAGCGUUAUCCGGAUUUAUUGGGCGUAAAGCGUCCGCAGCCGGUUUAUUAAGUCUAAGAUUAAAGCCCGAAGCUUAACUUCGGUUCGUUUUAGAAACUGGUAGACUCGAGUGUGGUAGAGGCAAGUGGAACUUCUAGUGUAGCGGUAAAAUGCGUAGAUAUUAGAAAGAACACCAGUGGCGAAGGCGACUUGCUGGGCCAUCACUGACGGUCAGGGACGAAAGCGUGGGGAGCAAAUAGGAUUAGAUACCCUUGUAGUC
rnacentral:rRNA from 1 species